rnacentral:rRNA from 1 species
AUUGCCCUAGUAACGGCGAGUGAAGCGGCAACAGCUCAAAUUUGAAAUCUGGCUCUUUCAGAGUCCGAGUUGUAAUUUGCAGAGGGCGCUUUGGCUUUGGCAGCGGUCCAAGUUCCUUGGAACAGGACGUCACAGAGGGUGAGAAUCCCGUACGUGGUCGCUAGCUAUUGCCGUGUAAAGCCCCUUCGACGAGUCGAGUUGUUUGGGAAUGCAGCUCUAAAUGGGAGGUAAAUUUCUUCUAAAGCUAAAUACUGGCCAGAGACCGAUAGCGCACAAGUAGAGUGAUCGAAAGAUGAAAAGCACUUUGGAAAGAGAGUCAAACAGCACGUGAAAUUGUUGAAAGGGAAGCGCUUGCAGCCAGACUUGCUUGCAGUUGCUCAUCCGGGCUCUUGCCCGGUGCACUCUUCUGCAGGCAGGCCAGCAUCAGUUUGGGCGGUGGGAUAAAGGUCUCUGUCACGUACCUCUCUUCGGGGAGGCCUUAUAGGGGAGACGACAUACCACCAGCCUGGACUGAGGUCCGCGCAUUCGCUAGGAUGCUGGCGUAAUGGCUGUAAGCGGCCCGUCUUGAAACACGGACCAAGGAGUCUAACAUCUAUGCGAGUGUUUGGGUGUCAAGCCCGAACGCGUAAUGAAAGUGAACGGAGGUGGGAACCCGCAAGGGUGCACCAUCGACCGAUCCUGAUGUCUUCGGAAGGAUUUGAGUAAGAGCAUGGCUGUUGGGACCCGAAAGAUGGUGAACUAUGCUUGAAUAGGGUGAAGCCAGAGGAAACUCUGGUGGAGGCUCGCAGCGGUUCUGACGUGCAAAUCGAUCGUCAAAUUUGGGCAUAGGGGCGAAAGACUAAUCGAAUAUCUAGUA